rnacentral:pre_miRNA from 1 species
CGAGAGAGCUACUGACAGAAGAGAGUGAGCACACGCAGGUAAUUGUAUUAGAAAAUAUCUUUGCAGGUGCGUGCUCGCUCCUCUUCUGUCAGCGUCAUUUUUG